rnacentral:lncRNA from 1 species
AGAAAGGGCGCCCAAACAGCACCAGGAUUAGAACCGAGAUGGACGACGUUGAGAAGGAAAAGAGAAGGUGUGGAAUUUGCCGUGAAAUAGGACACAUGCGUAGGAAAUGUCCUAAUGUUGCAGGACCAUCCCAACGACCUUCCAGAUGAUUAUGUUGUUGUUUUAAAUAUCCGUUCAGAUGAUUAUGUUUUUUUAUUUAUU